rnacentral:rRNA from 1 species
AAACUCAAAUGAAUUGACGGGGGCCCGCACAAGCGGUGGAUUAUGUGGUUUAAUUCGAAGCAACGCGAAGAACCUUACCAGGACUUGACAUCCUACUAACGAGGUAGAGAUACGUCAGGUGCCCUUCGGGGAAAGUAGAGACAGGUGGUGCAUGGUUGUCGUCAGCUCGUGUCGUGAGAUGUUGGGUUAAGUCCCGCAACGAGCGCAACCCUUAUUGUUAGUUGCUACGCAAGAGCACUCUAGCGAGACUGCCGUUGACAAAACGGAGGAAGGUGGGGACGACGUCAAAUCAUCAUGCCCCUUAUGUCCUGGGCUACACACGUAAUACAAUGGCGGUCAACAGAGGGAUGCAAAGCCGUGAGGUGGAGCGAACCCCUAAAGCCGUCUCAGUUCGGAUCGCAGGCUGCAACUCGCCUGCGUGAAGUCGGAAUCGCUAGUAAUCGCGGAUCAGAAUGCCGCGGUGAAUACGUUCCCGGGCCUUGUACACACCGCCCGUCACACCAUGAGAGUCGGGAACACCCGAAGUCCGUAGCCUAACAGCAAUGAGGGCGCGGCCGAAGGUGGGUUUGAUAAUUGGGGUGAAGUCGUAACAAGGUAGCCGUAUCGGAAGGUGCGGCUGGAUCACCUCCUUUAU